rnacentral:rRNA from 1 species
AUUGAACGCUGGCGGCAGGCCUAACACAUGCAAGUCGAGCGGAAGAAGGGAGCUUGCUCCUGGAUUCAGCGGCGGACGGGUGAGUAAUGCCUAGGAAUCUGCCUGGUAGUGGGGGAUAACGUCCGGAAACGGGCGCUAAUACCGCAUACGUCCUGAGGGAGAAAGUGGGGGAUCUUCGGACCUCACGCUAUCAGAUGAGCCUAGGUCGGAUUAGCUAGUUGGUGGGGUAAAGGCCUACCAAGGCGACGAUCCGUAACUGGUCUGAGAGGAUGAUCAGCCACACUGGAACUGAGACACGGUCCAGACUCCUACGGGAGGCAGCAGUGGGGAAUAUUGGACAAUGGGCGAAAGCCUGAUCCAGCCAUGCCGCGUGUGUGAAGAAGGUCUUCGGAUUGUAAAGCACUUUAAGUUGGGAGGAAGGGCAGUAAGUUAAUACCUUGCUGUUUUGACGUUACCAACAGAAUAAGCACCGGCUAACUUCGUG